GUUUUAUUUAUAAAAGUGACCAACCAAUUAACUUUCUAUUUAUUAUAUGUAAAAGAAGAAAAAUAUGGCUGAAAAUUUUAAAUUCGUUUAUGCUUUGAUCAUCUUUAUUUCUCUAAUUAUUUUUGCAACCAGCUAUGACAAUAAAUUCUUUUGCUAUACUGACGAUGAUUGUGAUUCCAAUAUAUGUCGAUUUCCUUUCGUUAAGAAGUGUCGUAUGUUUCUGUGUUACUGCGACCUAGAGAAACAUUAAGUUGAUAAAUAAUGCUAUGUUAUUUUUAAGCUUAUAAUUUUUUUUGUAAGCUAUAAUGUUAGUACUUAUAAAUAAAUUUAUUAAUUACUAGUGUAUUAACCUCA